AUGGCGGCCGUGACGCUCGGCACCGAGACCGACGGCUCCAUACUUUGCCCGUCGUCGUGCAACUCAGUUGUCGGCAUCAAGCCAACGUUGGGGUUGACCAGCCGGGCCGGCGUCGUCCCCAUCACCCCGUUGCAGGACACCGUCGGUAAAAUGCAGGCCGAUGUGCCGGACGGUGUCGGACGCAGUGCCAUCGUCGGCUACGACGCGCAAGACGCCGCGGCCACCGGAGCGGCAUCCAAGUACAUCCCGCACGGCGGGUACACGCAGUUCCUAAAGAAAAAAGGGCUCAAAGGCAAGAGGAUCGGCGUCCCCAAUGGCUUCUUCCAAGGAUAUGACCAGACGCAGUUGAAUACGUACAAGCAGCACCUCGCCACAAUGAGGAAACUUGGAGCAGUGGUGAUCGAGAAGCUGGACGUCGCUGCCAAUUUGACCGCUCUAUUGGUUGAGAUUUAUGCCAAGGAGGGGAUUGCGAUGCAGGCAGAGUUCAAACUGAGCAUAACCGCGUAUUUGGCAAGCUUGGUCUACUCCCCGGUCCAUUCGCUAGCAGACAUCAUAGCAUUCAACAACAAGCUUCCUGUGGAGGAGAGGCUGAAAGAUUUCGGGCAGCCUGAUCUUAUCGCUGCCCAAAGCACAAACGGCAUUGGGCCCGUAGAGAGAGCCGCGAUCCGUAGCCUGAAGGAGCUGAACGCGAAUGGGCUACAGAAGCUAACGAUGGAGCGCCAAUUGGACGCGAUCGUGGCGCCUAACAGCGACAUUUCCAGCCUUCUCGCCAUCAGCGGCCACCUUGGCAUCGUUGUGCUGGCGGGGUACGACGAGAAGGGGUUCCCCUUCGGGAUAUGCUUCGGCGGGCUGCAGGGGUAUGAGCCGAGGCUGAUCGAGAUGGCCUAUUCUUUCGAGCAGGCUACCAAAGUGAGGAGGCCACCCAUGUUCAAGCCCUAG
rnacentral:rRNA from 1 species